rnacentral:lncRNA from 1 species
GAGUCCUCUGGUAAGUAUUUUGUAGUUGCUAUUCCUAGAUUAGAGCCGAUCUAGUCCAGUGAGUGAAGGGAAAGGGUUUAGGUUUGAAUUCUGAGAGGUUGGAUUAAGAGUUGUGGAAGAGUUUCAGAUAGAUCUGAGGAAGAAAAUUAGAGAAUGAAGAAGGAGUAUUUAGAGAAGUGAGGUGAUCCGGGAGAUAGAUUUGAGGGGG